AGAGUUUGAUCCUGGCUCAGAUUGAACGCUGGCGGCAUGCUUUACACAUGCAAGUCGAACGGGCCGGGGGCAACUCCGGUCAGUGGCGAACGGGUGAGUAAUACAUCGGAACGUGCCCAGUAGUGGGGGAUAACGUAGCGAAAGUUACGCUAAUACCGCAUACGCUGGAGACAGGAAAGCGGGGGACCGCAAGGCCUCGUGCUAUUGGAGCGGCCGAUGUCCGAUUAGCUAGUUGGUGGGGUAAAGGCCUACCAAGGCGACGAUCGGUAGCUGGUCUGAGAGGAUGAUCAGCCACACUGGGACUGAGACACGGCCCAGACUCCUACGGGAGGCAGCAGUGGGGAAUUUUGGACAAUGGGGGCAACCCUGAUCCAGCCAUGCCGCGUGAGUGAAGAAGGCCUUCGGGUUGUAAAGCUCUUUUGUCUGGGAAGAAAAGGCGUCGGUUAAUACCUGGCGUUCUGACGUACCGAAGAAUA
rnacentral:rRNA from 1 species